CUUCCUAUUUAUUUGCUGCUAUAGUCUUUUCAAUGGUAUGAGCAGUUGUAUGCAUGGGUAAAGUAACAUCAGGCCAUUGUAAACUGAAAUGGAAUAACCGUUUAACCUCUUCUGCAUGCAAAGUCCAGACAUUG